AUUGAACGCUGGCGGCAGGCCUAACACAUGCAAGUCGAACGAGCGGCGGACGGGUGAGUAAUGUCUGGGAAACUGCCUGAUGGAGGGGGAUAACUACUGGAAACGGUAGCUAAUACCGCAUACCAUCAGAUGUGCCCAGAUGGGAUUAGCUAGUAGGUGGGGUAACGGCUCACCUAGGCGACGAUCCCUAGCUGGUCUGAGAGGAUGACCAGUCACACUGGAACUGAGACACGGUCCAGAUGCCUACGGGAGGCAGCAGUGGGGAAUAUUGAACAAUGGGCGAAAGCCUGAUGCAGCCAUGCCGCGUGUGUGAAGAAGGUCUUCGGUUUGUAAAGCACUUUAAGCGGGGAGGCGUUACCCGCAGAAGAAGCACCGGCUAACUCCGUGCCAGCAGCCGCGGUAAUUC
rnacentral:rRNA from 1 species